rnacentral:SRP_RNA from 2 species
UUUCAACGAUACCCGAGCAUGCUUGCAUGCCAUCUGGUCAGAGCCGGAAGGCAGCAGCCACAGCGGGAACAUUGUGUGCCGGGGUGUGGCUGGUGGGGUUGC